rnacentral:rRNA from 1 species
GAUGAACGCUAGCGACAGGCCUAACACAUGCAAGUUGAGGGGCAGCACAAGGAGCAAUCUGAGGUGGCGACCGGCGCACGGGUGAGUAACACGUAUGCAACCUACCUGUAAGAGGGGAAUAACCCGUUGAAAAACGGACUAAUACCGCAUAACACUGUAGAACCGCAUGGUUUGACAGUUAAACAUUUAUGGCUUACAGAUGGGCAUGCGCAUGAUUAGCUAGUUGGUGAGGUAACGGCUCACCAAGGCAACGAUCAUUAGGGGUUCUGAGAGGAAGGUCCCCCACACUGGUACUGAGACACGGACCAGACUCCUACGGGAGGCAGCAGUGAGGAAUAUUGGUCAAUGGGCGAGAGCCUGAACCAGCCAAGUCGCGUGAAGGAUGAAGGUUUUAUGAAUUGUAAACUUCUUUUGCAGGGGAAUAAAGUGUCCGACGUGUCGGAUUUUGUAUGUACUCUGCGAAUAAGGAUCGGCUAACUCCGUG